rnacentral:rRNA from 1 species
CCCUUAGAUGCUCUGGGCCGCACACGCGCUACACUGGUCGAUGCAACGAGUUUCUUUCCUUGGCCGACAGGCCUGGGCAAUCUUUGAACAUCGAUCGUGAUCGGGAUAGAUUCUUGUAAUUUUUGAUCUUAAACGAGGAAUUCCUAGUAAACGCAAGUCAUCAGCUUGCAUUGAUUACGUCCCUGCCCUUUGUACACACCGCCCGUCGCACCUACCGAUUGAAUGGUCCGGUGAAAUCUCCGGACUGGCGUGAGUCGGAGCAAUCUGACAAACACCGGAAAGUUGAUUAAACCUUACCAUUUAGAGGAAGGUGAAGUCGUAACA